GACGAACGCUGGCGGCGUGCUUAACACAUGCAAGUCGAACGGAAAGGCCCUGCUUUUGUGGGGUGCUCGAGUGGCGAACGGGUGAGUAACACGUGAGUAACCUGCCCUUGACUUUGGGAUAACUUCAGGAAACUGGGGCUAAUACCGGAUAGGAGCUCCUGCUGCAUGGUGGGGGUUGGAAAGUUUCGGCGGUUGGGGAUGGACUCGCGGCUUAUCAGCUUGUUGGUGGGGUAGUGGCUUACCAAGGCUUUGACGGGUAGCCGGCCUGAGAGGGUGACCGGCCACAUUGGGCCUGAGAUACGGCCCAGACUCCUACGGGAGGCAGCAGUGGGGAAUAUUGCACAAUGGGCGGAAGCCUGAUGCAGCAACGCCGCGUUCGGGAUGACGGCCUUCGGGUUGUAAACCGCUUUCGCCUGUGACGAAGCGUGAGUGACGGUAAUGGGUAAAGAAGCACCGGCUAACUACGUG
rnacentral:rRNA from 1 species